CCCAGGCAAGCCAACCUCCUGGACACAAAAGGUAUGUUAAAAAGAUGAUGGCUGCAAAUAUAAAAAUAUAACUUGUGUGUGUGCAUAUGCCAGUGUGUUUAUAUGUCAGUGUGUGAAUGUGUUCAGGUGUAUGCAUGUGUCAGUGUGUUAAUAGUGUGUGUCAAUAGUUGCAAUAUGUUAUCAAAUAGUUUUGUCAUAAUAAAAUGUCAUGUACUUGUUCAUACAUGUUUGGAG